AGCAGCCGCGGUAAUUCCAGCUCCAAUAGCGUAUAUUAAAGUUGUUGCAGUUAAAAAGCUCGUAGUUGAAUUUCGGGGUCAGUAGGCUGGUCGUGCCACAGGUACGUACUGGUCUCACUGAUUCCUCCUUCCUGAUGAACCGUAAUGCCAUUAAUUUGGUGUUGCGGGGAAACUGGACUGUUACUUUGAAAGAAUUAGAGUGUUUAAAGCAGGCUAACGCUUGAAUACAUUAGCAUGGAAUAAUGAAAUAGGACGUUCGAUCCUAUUUUGUUGGUUUCUAGGAUUGACGUAAUGAUUAAUAGGGAUAGUUGGGGGCAUUAGUAUUCAAUUGUCAGAGGUGAAAUUCUUGGAUUUAUUGAAGACUAACUACUGCGAAAGCAUUUGCCAAGGAUGUUUUCAUUAAUCAAGAACGAAAGUUAGGGGAUCGAAGACGAUCAGAUACCGUCGUAGUCUUAACCAUAAACUAUGCCGACUAGGGAUCGGAUGAUGU
rnacentral:rRNA from 1 species